GCCAGUCUCAAUGGGCAUUUCAGGAGAGUUUCAUGCACAUUUAAUGCAUUGACACAUCAGCAUAGAAGGCAUUUUUGCAUGAAAUAGGGAGAAAAGAGGGGAGAAUCGUUUCACCAUGGUGAAACGACUCUGCGUCGUUUCCUAGGCCUCGGUAACUCUGUGAAACGGCCAUUGAGGGCGAUUUUUGUUUCAUCCUCGAUCCCGUGCGCAGAGGCAACGGCGAGCUCGCCAUUCCCGCGCGCGCGCGCUUCUCCCGCCCCCCAGGUCCUUCUUCCCGCCCCUUCCUCCCGCCUCCUUCUCCCCAAUCCUCCUCCUCCCGCCCGCCCAUCAUCUGUCCAUUCUUGAGCGUCGUGGCUAGGGUUACGGCACCAGAUCGAGCAGGCAUGGAUCCGCCGCCGGCGUCCGAUUCACGGCGGCGCGGAGGUGGCAGAGGAGGCAAGAAUCGCGCGGGGAAGCAGCUUGGACUGAAGAGACCGGCGGCGCCUGCUCCAUCAUCGCGUCCAGGUUCCCCAUCACCACCGCAUCGAACCCCGCUGCCUCCGAUUUCCACCUCCGCUGCGUCGAUUUCGGCUGCUGCACCGACUCCGACCCCUGCUGCUGCGUCUUCGUCCCCUGCUGCCCCGAUGAGCAACAUGCCCCCAUGGCCUGCUCAAGGAGGAGGAUGGGGCGGCAUUCCCCCCAAUUUUCCAUUCGGUCAUGGAGAGCAGCAAGGCCCAAACUCAUGUAUUGAAGGCUGAAGUCAAUAUCAUCCUGCAGUAUUGAAGGCUGAAGUCUAUUUGAAUUAUUUUUAUCUACCUUAUCUAUCUUUGUCAAUCUGGUCCAGUAUACCAGAUUUCAGUCACUUUAGUUUAUCCAGUUUAUCGUAUGGUUGAACUUAUCCAAGUUAUCUUAACUACCUUAUAUAUGGAUGAACUUUGCUAUUCCAUGAGCAGUUUGCUUGCCGUAUGCAGUUAUCCAUUUUAUCUGAACUUGUAUGCUUGUUCCAGAAAUAUAUUUGUAUAUGCAUGGCUACAAAAUCACCUGGUGCAUAUGAUCAGGCUGCUAUCAAGCAACCGAAAGGCCUUAAUUGCUUUA